rnacentral:lncRNA from 1 species
UCCAGACCUCUAGUUACUUGAAAAGAAACUAAUUUUAUAGUUCCACUCUAUAUGUUGCCAUUCCUAUAUCUUCCACCAAAAUCUUUACAUGCUUGGGAAUCAGUUUCUGUGUUAAUAUGGUCCUUCUUUAGAAGACUACUAAAAUAUUCAUGGUAUACACCACAUCUUACCCAAAGAAAAGGAGAAAAAAAAAAAAACAUAGGGUAAGCAACAGGCUUCAUAUCACGGCCAAUGGAAAUCAUAUAUUUGAUUCUUAGUAAUUAGCAGGCGAUCAACAAAUUACAUGAUCUAAGGGUUGGUAUAAGGUUACACUAUAGCUGUUUUGAGAACAAUUAAUCUCCUGGUGUCAACACACAAGUGGAUUUGAUAAGCCUAGAUCCCAUCUAGAAUGUACCCUUGUCCACUUUUCAAAAAAUAAGACCACUAGGAGACUAUAGUUUCUAAAAAUGAUAGUAGGAAUAUAGUGUAGUCAAGCAUGAAUUUCAUAAAACUUGACUUAUUUUCAUAUGUGUAUAUAUAUAUAUAUAUAUAAGAGAGAGAGAGAGAGAGAGAGAGAGAGAGAGAGAGAGAGGANNNNNNNNNNNNNNNNNNNNGUAUAUAUAUAUAUAUAUAUAGAGAGAGAGAGAGAGAGAGAGAGAGAAGAGGGGGAUUCAAUAUUCGGGCCCUACAAGUUGGCUCUAAUCCUUGACCAAAUAAAACAAGAUUAAACUUGUCAGAUGGCUUGCUUGGAUUUGAAUUGAAUCAAAGAACCAAAGUAAAAUUGCCUCAAAUAUUAGUUAAGGUUAUUAAGUCCGGGAAGAAAUAAUAUAAACUAGUUUUUAUUACCAUAGACUAUGAUUUAGAUAUAUGUUUUUAAUCUCAAAAUUUGCAAUUAAGUAAGUUGAAAUAUUUCUGCAAAUAAACAGGUAG